UUCUGUUUUGUUUUUUAAUCCAAGAAGGGUGUCUUGCUGGUGUCUGAAUAGAGGAAAUACCUUUUCAAACCUUGGGGAAAAUCCUAAUUUAAAGAGGGAGGAGUGAUUAUUCAAGGCUAAUAUUAACUGUGAGCUGUGUGUAAGACAACCUUCUUAAUCAAAGUUUGUGGAGGUCGGUGUGGAAAAAGAAAACAGAUAUUUACUAUCAUGAUCAUGUCGGGGAGAAGGUUGAUUUUCUGUCUAUUAUUUUUGCUUAUGUUCUGACAGUCUUGGAUUGUAUCUCUUCCACAAUGAUGCUCUUACAUCAGCAGCUGACAAUAAGACAUAUUUCCUCUAUCUGAAGAUGAAUUUUUCCUUACUUAAAGGAUGGCAGGAGUUGAAUGCAAUCAUUCAGCUAUUUUUCUACUUCGAGUUGAUUAUUGAUUUUUUCACUACUAGCUAUUGAAAGUUUGUAGAGAACAAGGUACUGAUAAACCUUUUAGCCAUUAAGAUGUAUAAUUUUUUAGAAAUAUCAUGAAGAGAGAUAAACAUAACUGGGAAAAAUAAGAAUAUAAAACUGGAAGCAAAGUAUUUCCUAAUAGAUAGUGUUAUUAAAAUCACAUAGUAUUUGUAAUACAUACAAAAUGUGCUCCCCUUUUUUAUUUCCCUCUAGUUCUUUUUCAUUUGGACAGCAGUUGUGCAAUUUAAAAAAAACACACACUCAAAUUUGCUGUAUUGUUACCCCCUGCUCCCACCCUCCUCCCCAGAUCUAUACUUCAAUAUUUGAAGAAGCUGUUGAGAUAAAUCAAAUAGUGACACAUUGACGGGUUUACUUGUGUAAGCAAUAUGGUUAACAUAUGGCAUUGUUAUUUAUGAAUGACAGCAUAACUUGUAUUACAAAGUCUAUUGCUAUAAUGCUGCAGUUUAUUGGAAAGCUGCUCUGCUGUCACUAGUAUUCAACCUCCCUGUUUGUAUUUCACCUAGGACCCCAAAGGAAAAUAUCGGAAUAAUGAAACAUUCUCAUGUAAGCUAAUGCCUCCGGCUUUGUUUUUAUUGUUUGCUAGAGUAAAAAUACUCCCCUAAGGAAAUCGGGGACGCAGUGAGACAAUAAAGUCCUCCUUCCUUAUGUAAGAGCACAAUCCCAAUUCCACAGUCCCAACAGACAGUGACUAGUGGUCUGCUUGUAAUUCUCCCAUUCUUUCCUUCUCCAGACAAAUGAAGUGAUCGCCACAUCCCUAAAUCGCUGGCGAGCACAUUUUUAUAUAGCAACAUUUUUUUUUUAAAGCAGCACAGCUACAGAAUAGUAAAUGUUAACCUUAGGAAGGAGAAAAGGUAAAGGUCUUUUAGCAAAUUUCUCAAACAUUGUGGCGGACAUCCGCCCACCCUUCCCUCGUUCUUUAUUUUUUUUUUAAAGGGCAUUUAAAAGUUACUACUUUGGCUGAGAUUUUCAUUAUUUCCCUUUUCUUUUACAUUACACUUCUGUUAAACUGACAAAGAACUUUUGUUCCGAAGUGUGUUUUACAGAGGGAGGCUACACCACCACACAUGUGGUCUUUCACGGGUCAUAGGUCGAACGGCCCAGAAGUGGCUAAGAUCGGCAGAAUCAAAGUGACAGGAGUGAAAGAGGUUUUGCUGUUUGUAGAGAAAUAAAGCACUUCUUAGAGGGGACGGCAACGUGACUUUGAACUUGGAUCAGCUCGUCUGUUUCCUGCAGGGAGAGUAGAACUGGAGCCCUGAAAGAAUAGCAAAGAGAGUCCAGCCUGCGGGGUCUCCGACUGGAAUUAAGGAAUUCCCUACAAACUACCCCAAAGCAGUCUCCUGAAGCCAUAGAGCCCGAAUUCAGCAGGGUGAUCUUAGUAUGAGAAUGGUAAUGAGAAAAAGAAAAAUCAAAGAAAAAUUAAAGAAUAGGAAAAAGGUCGAGGGAAACAUAGAAGUAAAGAGAGAAAAGGAAGAUAUAUGGAAGGCAGGAGAGAAAGAGAGAGAGAGAGAGAGAGAGAGAGAGAGAGAGAGAGAGAGAGAGAGAGAGAGAGAGAGAGAGAGAGAGAGAGAGAGAGAUAAGGAGAAGAGAAAAGGUCAUAAUGGAUUUGACUAUCCAGUGUAUAAAUAAUCGAAGAGAAACAAUUCUUACAAUCAAAAUAGAAGAAAAUAUUUUCUUUCAGGAAUUGUUUGAUACCAAAACAUUUUCAGUUAUUCUCCCUUUAUUCUAAAGCCAACAUAAACGAGUAAAUAAUCUUGUGUAAUGGUUAUGUAUCUCAAUAUUUUGGACGAAGAUGAAGUAAUAGGGGCAGAAUCUGCUCUCUCUCUCUCUCUCUCUCUCUCUCUCUCUCUCUCUCUCUCUCUCUCUCUCUCUCUCUCUCUCUCCUCUUCUUCCUUUUUUUUUUUCCUUUUAGGAGUACGGGACUAGCCGUGGUUUUCCCACUUGCUUAAAAUGCUUGGUCGGAUAAAAGACAGUGGAAACGUCCCUGAAUUCAGGGAGAAGAGCUCAGACUUCCAAGAAUCCCGCGGAAACAACUCGGCUUUUGGAGGAGGUGUCAUUGCCCUAAAGAACAACUACAGAAAUUACCAAAACCUCUCAGACGUUUCAAGUGAUCCCAAGAGCUGCCAGGUCCUUCUUCUGCUCUGCGAAUUUGGGGACUUAUGCCAUGGACUAAGAAGAUAGCUAAGAGAAAAGGCACUCUGGUUUUUCUGCAGUGAAAAUGUUUGAUUCCACGCAGAUAAUAAUAGUAACUUAUUUAAAAUUUGAAAAUAAAAAAAUAAAGCCUUGUA